rnacentral:rRNA from 1 species
AUGGAGAAGGUUGCCAUGCCGUGGAGAUUUCGUCUCCUGGCUUCGUCCCCAUGGUGGCUGGGCGUGCUUCAUCCCUCAUCAUGGAGCCUAGGAGUCAUGUUCAGGAGUUGGAGCGGCGCCAGAUCUCCCCAUGUCUCGUCCUUAGUGGUUCUUCAUCAUGUUGCAUCUCCGGUGUGCUGGUCCGACUGGACCGAGGUUGACGACUUCCUGGCUGCAAAGAACCUGUCUACACUCCACAAGAUCAUGCCGGCAAAAUGUAGAGCGGCGCCUGAUCUCCCCAUGCCUCGUCCUCGGUGCUUCUUUGUCAUGUUGCACCUUCGGUGUGAUGGUUCUACUGGACAGGGGUUAACGACUUCCCGGUCGCGAAGAAUCCGUCCGCACUCUACAAGUUUGUCAACUGAAUUGCUUGAGGACAAGCAAAGGUUUAAGCUUUGGGGAGUUGAUACGUCUCCAACACUCGCGCUGUUUUCAGCAGAAUUGCCAUGGUGUUAUUUUUGUGCAGAAAUAAAAGUUCUCGGAAUGACCUAA